AGCCCAGACUCCUACGGGAGGCAGCAGUGGGGAAUAUUGCACAAUGGGGGAAACCCUGAUGCAGCAACGCCGCGUGAGUGAAGAAGUAUUUCGGUAUGUAAAGCUCUAUCAGCAGGGAAGAGAAUGACGGUACCUGACUAAGAAGCCCCGGCUAACUACGUGCCAGCAGCCGCGGUAAUACGUAGGGGGCAAGCGUUAUCCGGAUUUACUGGGUGUAAAGGGGGCGCAGACGGCGAUGCAAGCCAGGAGUGAAAGCCCGGGGCCCAACCCCGGGACUGCUCUUGGAACUGCGUGGCUGGAGUGCAGGAGGGGCAGGCGGAAUUCCUGGUGUAGCGGUGAAAUGCGUAGAUAUCAGGAGGAACACCGGUGGCGAAGGCGGCCUGCUGGACUGCAACUGACGUUGAGGCCCGAAAGCGUGGGGAGCAAACAGGAUUAGAUACCCCAGUACGG
rnacentral:rRNA from 1 species